rnacentral:hammerhead_ribozyme from 1 species
AUUUAACAGAGGAGCCCCAAAUAGGACGAAACGCGCGUGCUGGAU